AAUCAACGCUGGCGGCGUGCCUAACACAUGCAAGUCGAACGCGAAAGGGACUUCGGUUCUUAGUAGAGUGGCGUACGGGUGAGUAACGCGUGGGUCAUCUGCCCUCGGGUGGGGAAUAACUAACCGAAAGGUUAGCUAAUACCGCAUAACACAGUGAUGUCAAAGCAGCAAUGUGCCCGAGGAGGAGCCUGCGUCUGAUUAGGUAGUUGGUGGGGUAACGGCCUACCAAGCCUGCGAUCAGUAGCUGGUCUGAGAGGACGGCAAGUCACAAUGGCACUGAAACACGGGCCAUACUCCUACUGGAGGGAGCAGUGGGGAAGUGUGCGCAAUGGGCGAAAGCCUGACGCAGCAACGCCGCGUGAGGGAUGAAAUAUUUCGGUAUGUAAACCUCGCAAAUAUGGGAAGAACACAAUGACGGUACCAUAUGUAAGCCACGGCUAACUUCGUGCCAGCAGCCGCCGUAACAC
rnacentral:rRNA from 1 species